rnacentral:lncRNA from 1 species
UCAAUGUGUCAUAUACGUAUUUAGAGGCUGCCUGCAAACAUUUCAUCAUGUACAUAUCAUAUAUAUAUAGUAAUAUAUGCCAGUUAAUUCAUUUAUAUAUAUCAUCAUAUACGUAUAUUUACAUAUAUAUAUCACCUCAGGGCCUCGAAUUCUCUUUACAGCCUCUAGCAACCAGGCCGUGAGAUAAACCGCCGACGAGCUUCUCUUCCCAGCAAUGAUUUUUCUCACUUGUCUGAUAUAUUCAAGCCGAUUAUCUGACGCAUCCUGAAGAUGAGGUAUUGGAACGCACAAGAAGGCAAAAUGGUUUCCCCACGGUGAGUCGGUGCCGUUUUUGAUCAUCUCCUUCACUGAUUUGUAACUUCUGGUCAUCCUGGUAUUCAACAAAACUAACGCCGUUGAAUCUGUUUUAGUUGAUGGUGUGGGUUCUAAUUCUUGCACGUAAAGUCGACAUCCCAAUAAAAUCACUCCCGUUAUCACGUCGUUUACCGUCUGCAUGC